rnacentral:rRNA from 1 species
GACGAACGCUGGCGGCGUGCCUAAUACAUGCAAGUAGAACGCUGAAGGAGGAGCUUGCUUCUCUGGAUGAGUUGCGAACGGGUGAGUAACGCGUAGGUAACCUGCCUGGUAGCGGGGGAUAACUAUUGGAAACGAUAGCUAAUACCGCAUAAUAGUAGAUGUUGCAUGACAUUUGCUUAAAAGGUGCAAUUGCAUCACUACCAGAUGGACCUGCGUUGUAUUAGCUAGUUGGUGGGGUAACGGCUCACCAAGGCGACGAUACAUAGCCGACCUGAGAGGGUGAUCGGCCACACUGGGACUGAGACACGGCCCAGACUCCUACGGGAGGCAGCAGUAGGGAAUCUUCGGCAAUGGACGGAAGUCUGACCGAGCAACGCCGCGUGAGUGAAGAAGGUUUUCGGAUCGUAAAGCUCUGUUGUAAGAGAAGAACGAGUGUGAGAGUGGAAAGUUCACAAUGUGACGGUAUCUUACCAGAAAGAGACGGCUAACUACGUG